UACAGAGGUCCCAAGCGUUGUUCGGAUUCACUGGGCGUAAAGGGUGCGUAGGUGGUGAGGUAAGUCGGAUGUGAAAUCUCCGGGCUUAACCCGGAAACUGCCAUUGAUACUAUAGGUCUUGAAUAUCCUGGAGGUGAGCGGAAUAUGUCAUGUAGCGGUGAAAUGCUUAGAUAUGACAUAGAACACCAAUUGCGUAGGCAGCUUACUACACGAUCAUUGACGCUGAGGCACGAAAGCGUGGGGAGCAAACAGG
rnacentral:rRNA from 1 species